rnacentral:lncRNA from 1 species
ACAACCAACACGUUCUCCCCACACGACUCUCUCGUUCUCCCCACAGCCAGGUCUCCAGCUGGGGUGGACGUGCCCACCAGCUGCCGAAGGCCAAGACGCCAGGUCCGGUGGACGUGACAAGCAGGACAUGACAUGGUCCGGUGUGACGGCGAGGACAGAGGAGGCGCGUCCGGCCUUCCUGAACACCUUAGGCUGGUGGGGCUGCGGCAAGAAGCGGGUCUGUUUCUUUACUUCCUCCACGGAGUCGGCACACUAUGGCUGCCCUCUGGGCUCCCAGAACCCACAACAUGAAAGAAAUGGUGCUACCCAGCUCAAGCCUGGGCCUUUGAAUCCGGACACAAAACCCUCUAGCUUGGAAAUGAAUAUGCUGCACUUUACAACCACUGCACUACCUGACUCAGGAAUCGGCUCUGGAAGGUGAAGCUAGAGGAACCAGACCUCAUCAGCCCAACAUCAAAGACACCAUCGGAACAGCAGCGCCCGCAGCACCCACCCCGCACCGGCGACUCCAUCUUCAUGGCCACCCCCUGCGGCGGACGGUUGACCACCAGCCACCACAUCAUCCCAGAGCUGAGCUCCUCCAGCGGGAUGA